rnacentral:rRNA from 1 species
GGGUCAGUAGGUUGGUCGUGCCACCGGUACGUACUGGUCUCACUGAUUCCUCCUUCCUGAAGAACCGUAAUGCCAUUAAUUUGGUGUUGCGGGGAAACAGGACUGUUACUUUGAAAAAAUUAGAGUGUUUAAAGCAAGCUAACGCUUGGAUACAUUAGCAUGGAAUAAUGAAAUAGGACGAUCGAUCCUAUUUUAUUGGUUUCUAGGAUUGACGUA